UCUGUGCAAUUGUAGAAGUCCCACAACCCUUGAUGAUCAUGUCAAAAUAUGGGUGAUGCUGAAUUAUGGAGUUCCAGAACCUUGGAUUGCACUUUAUAUUGUGAAGAAUAAAAGUACUAUAGAUGGAUAUUACUCGUGGCUUAUGUGGUCUUUUAAUAGCAUGUUUGGCAACGCUUCAAGAAGCAGCUUUUUUGCUUUUUUAAGCUGAUAAGUUAAAAGCAUGUUUGGGAAUGCUUUUUUUAAACAACUUAUUUAAGCCAAAAAGUGACUUAUUUUUGGAGCCAAAAUUUUUGCUUCCGACUCUGCAGAGAAGUAGCUUCUGGGCUUCUCCUUGGUAAAUGUGUAAUAUUUUAUCAGUGUCCUUCGUAAAUAUAAUCACACUUUCCUGUCACUCUUCACUUUCCUCUUUUAUCUCUUCCCUGUAAAAUCUUCUUCCUUGAAAAUCUAGUUUAGUUUUAAGAAGAAGAUAAAAACUUACAGAGGAGGAGUAGACACCAUUAAAAGAUUAUGGCUUCAAGUUCAAGCCAAGCUCCAUUUCCUUUGUUUGAAGAUGUUAUUGAAGUUCCUGCCAAUUGGUCUCAAGUACAUGAGUCAUAUUUCAUAGAGCUGGUGUUAGAUGAUUCUAGUCCAACAAUAACCUUCUUCCUGGGUUUCCUGUCCGUCCCUCGAAUCACUUACCAAAUGCAAGAUGAUUCUAGUCCAACAAGCUGGCUUUGACAGUCGUUACGAAGAAUUGCAAGUUAGAAUCAAAAUUAGUGUUGCAUCAAACUUAACAGUUUUCAUUUCUAAUAAAUAUAACAAUAAUUGAUUAAAAAAAAUACGUCUGAUAUUUUGACUUCUGAAAUGUAAAUUUACCAAACUUACUUAUUUGCUUUUCAAUUUAUAAGUUAGGUAGUUGCCAAACUAACUUUCCAACUUCUCAGAAGCAGAAGUGCUUUUCUUCUGGUAUCCAAACGCGCUAUAAGAGUGGUGCGAUUCUGUUUGGGGUACUGGUAGUAUGGGCGUAUAUGACCCUGAAUGUGGAAGUGUUAGAGAGACUAACAUUUCUAGCUUGGGACAGUUCUUCCAACAAGAGCUUUAUUUUGAAAGCUUAGUUUAGAUCAAGUCUAGUACUUAUGUAGUGGGAGAAGAAGAAAUAGAAGAACCAAAAUAAGAAGAAGAUGAAGAGCAAGAAGCUGAAGAAUAAAGUGUGAGAAUUUGUUAUCA